CCUACGGGAGGCAGCAGUAGGGAAUCUUCGGCAAUGGACGAAAGUCUGACCGAGCAACGCCGCGUGAGUGAAGAAGGUUUUCGGAUCGUAAAGCUCUGUUGUAAGAGAAGAACGGGUGUGAGAGUGGAAAGUUCACACUGUGACGGUAUCUUACCAGAAAGGGACGGCUAAACUCGUGCCAGCAGCCGCGGUAAUACGUAGGUCCCGAGCGUUGUCCGGAUUUAUUGGGCGUAAAGCGAGCGCAGGCGGUUAUGAAAGUCUGAAGUUAAAGGCUGUGGCUUAACCAUAGAACGCUUUGGAAUACGUUUAACUUGAGUGCAGAAGGGGAGAGUGGAAUUCCAUGUGUAGCGGUGAAAUGCGUAGAUAUAUGGAGGAACACCGGUGGCGAAAGCGGCUCUCUGGUCUGUAACUGACGCUGAGGCUCGAAAGCGUGGGGAGCGAACAGGAUUAGAUACCCUGGUAGUCCACGCCGUAAACGAUGAGUGCUAGGUGUUAGGCCCUUUCCGGGGCUUAGUGCCGCAGCUAACGCAUUAAGCACUCCGCCUGGGGAGUACGACCGCAAGGUUGAAACUCAAAGGAAUUGACGG
rnacentral:rRNA from 1 species